rnacentral:tRNA from 1 species
ACUUCGGUUGUGUAUUGGAUUAGCCCAGCAGACCGGAUAUCUGUAAGUGCGGGUUCGAGUCCCGCCUGACAUU